rnacentral:rRNA from 1 species
UUACGCUGUUAUCCCUAAGGUAAUUUAAUCUUACAAUCAAAAUAAAUGGAUCAAGCAAAUAUAAAUAAAUAUAACAACACAAAGGAGGGGUUAAAUAAUAUCCCUCCCAUCACCCCAACAAAACAUAUUAAACAGCCCUAGUGAACCCUCACAAACAGAAAGAGACCGUGAAUAAAUGUUAAACUCUAUAGGGUCUUCUCGUCCCAUAAAAACAUCUAAGAAUUUUAACUCAAAGACCAAAUUCAAUAAACAAUUCAAAAUUAAGACAGCUUAUGCCUCGUGCAAGCCAUUCAUACCAGAUCACAAUUAAAGAACUAAUGAUUAUGCUACCUUUGCACGGUCAAAAUAAGCCGGGCCUUCAACAUUCAAGGUCAGUGGGCAGGCCAUACUUCAAAAACUAACGAGAAGAGAUGUUUUUGUUAAACAGGCG